ensembl:piRNA 21ur-14884 ncRNA
UGACUCCUGUGACAUUAUUUC